rfam:Ciona savignyi cont_62568, whole genome shotgun sequence.
GCAUAUCACCAUUCCAGAUUGAAUAUACCCGAUCUCGUCUGAUCUCGGAAGUCAAGCAAUCUCGGGCUUGGUUAGUACUUGGAUGGGUGACCGCUUGGGAAUCCAAGUGUGAUAAGCA